CCACCUCUGAAGGUCUCCUAUGUGAGUGCAAAAUCAACAAAUAUACGAUAGCAAGAAUUUAGACUGCAGUCAGAAGUGUAAGAGGAUCAAGCUGAAUUUCUUAAUCUAGUCCAAAAGUGACAGAAGAUUAGAAAAGAGGAACUGAGAAGACUGUCCAGCAGCCAUUUGACCAUAUCAGCUCUAUCCCUCUUCCUUUGACAAAAGGCUUAGGUCUAAAAGAAUCUGUUGAAUUGGGGAAAUAGAAGAUUUUGGACAUGGCUCUGAAAGAAAGUUGAAAGAGCUACAGGACUAUGUAAAAAGUUGAAGAUUAGAAAAAAAAAAAAAAAAAAAAAAAGAACUCUGCUGAUUUCAGUCCAGAGGGAGAGAAUUCUCCCUUUUCCCAGGGACAGGACCAUGUGCCACACACAUGUACCAGC